rnacentral:rRNA from 1 species
CUAACUACGUGCCAGCAGCCGCGGUAAUACGUAGGGGGCUAGCGUUAUCCGGAUUUACUGGGCGUAAAGGGUGCGUAGGCGGUCUUUCAAGUCAGGAGUGAAAGGCUACGGCUCAACCGUAGUAAGCUCUUGAAACUGGGAGACUUGAGUGCAGGAGAGGAGGGUGGAAUUCCUAGUGUAGCGGUGAAAUGCGUAGAUAUUAGGAGGAACACCAGUUGCGAAGGCGGCUCUCUGGACUGUAACUGACGCUGAGGCACGAAAGCGUGGGGAGCAAACAGGAUUAGAUACCCUGGUAGUCCACGCUGUAAACGAUGAGUACUAGGUGUCGGGGGUUACCCCC